AACUUAUCAAGAAAGGUGGAGGGAAUGGCCCUUUGAAGCCUUAGCAACCGUCCGUGAAAAUGGAAAUGGUGCUAAUUCCAUCCCGGGACAGCCCGGGGUAGUUAAGUC
rnacentral:ncRNA from 2 species